rnacentral:lncRNA from 11 species
GUUUAUAAUGGUACUUUAAUUGUUAUUUAAUUAAUAGUUAAUUAAUUAUUAAGGGGUGCUUUGCUUGUGUUUUUGGUCCACAAAGGCAGAAGGGGAUUGCAGUAUCACAGCGAUGAAGAUGGAGAAUAAGGUUGAACCAUGUAGAUACACUUUGGUGUCUUGUAACUGGAUUUACACUUAUUAAUGGCCAAACACGAAUGGAAAGAUCAACCAUCUUGACUCAAGCAGCACCCUGGUUGAAGAAAGGUUUCUAAGGUGCAGGGGAUCAGGAUACUGGAAAAUAAUGUCUUCAGUGCUCUUCCGGUCCCAGGAUGCAUUGAGACAUGAUGCUGUUCCAGUUCUCUGACAGUUAUCUCCAAGAGUUCAUCUCAAUGCACCCCACAACCUGGAAAGUGCUGAAACUUUGCUCCCCACCUCCCUUAUUCUGCAACACUUUAGAAAGUGAGGCGGGGCACUGCUUUGUCCUUUGUGGAAAGAGGUUUUUUAAUGGUGGUAUUAUCAGAUGUAGCUGCAACCAUAGUACUCCGUCAUCAUCAGUGCACCUGAUGCAACAAAUGCUUCCGAGCCUGGCUUUAAAUGUGGGUCUGCUAAAUGGUCUUUUAUUUAUCACUCACUAA